rnacentral:rRNA from 1 species
UACGUAGGGUGCAAGCGUUGUCCGGAAUUAUUGGGCGUAAAGAGCUCGUAGGCGGUCUGUCGCGUCUGCUGUGAAAACUCAGGGCUUAACCCUGAGCUUGCAGUGGGUACGGGCAGACUAGAGUGCGGUAGGGGAGACUGGAAUUCCUGGUGUAGCGGUGAAAUGCGCAGAUAUCAGGAGGAACACCGGUGGCGAAGGCGGGUCUCUGGGCCGUAACUGAACGCUGGAGGAGCGGAAAG